rnacentral:rRNA from 1 species
UGUGAAUGUGAGCGAAUCCCAAAAAUAAACGUCUCAGUUCGGAUUGUAGUCUGCAACUCGACUACAUGAAGCUGGAAUCGCUAGUAAUCGCGAAUCAGAAUGUCGCGGUGAAUACGUUCCCGGGUCUUGUACACACCGCCCGUCACACCAUGAGAGUUGGGAAUACCCGAAGCCUGUGAGCUAACGUAAGAGGCAGCAGUCGAAGGUAGAAUCAAUGAUUGGGGUGAAGUCGUAACAAGGUACC